GCCGAGGUUGGCACCGAACACCUGUCUUAUCUUCAGCUCAUGGCCGACCAGACUGUACAGGUUUUCUUGAGAAAACGUUUCGGCAAACAGACAGUCGUCCACGGGAAACGGGUCGUCUUCAUCUACGACGCAAGUCAUAGUUGUUGAAAUUAUGUGGACAUCUCACUAACAACUACACACUUUUAUCUGGGAGGACAAAGACUUUUUCUCUGGUCUGAGAUGGACUGCACUAUCUGUCGGAUCUCCCGCUCUCGCUCUUCAACCAUGACCGUGUUCUGCUCCACCAGCAUCAGCUGAUCGUCUGUGAACCCCUGAGGAAAAAAUUUAAUUAGGUAGCUGGAUUGUGUGUGUCUGAAAUUGGUGGACAGCUCCUGCAGACUCUGCGCCAGAGACGACACCACAUUUCUCAAUAGUCUCUCCUCCUGUUCGGUGCAGUGGCCACAACGAGACUGCAAACCCGUCACAGCUCGCUGGC